rnacentral:rRNA from 1 species
UACGUAGGGGACAAGCGUUGUCCGGAAUUAUUGGGCGUAAAGAGCGUGUAGGCGGUUCGAUAAGUCGGCUGUGAAAGUCCAGGGCUCAACCCUGGGAUGCCGGUCGAAACUGUCGGACUAGAGUUCGGAAGAGGCGAGUGGAAUUCCCGGUGUAGUGGUGGAAUGCGUAGAUAUCGGGAGGAACACCAGUGGCGAAGGCGGUUGCCUGGAGCUUUGCUGACGCUGAGGCGCGAAAGCGUGGGGAGCGAUCCGG